rnacentral:rRNA from 1 species
CGGCGAGUGAAGCGGCAACAGYUCAAAUUUGAAAUCUGGCUCUCGGGCCCGAGUUGUAAUUUGUAGAGGAUACUUUUGAUGCGGUGCCUUCCGAGUUCCCUGGAACGGGACGCCAUAGAGGGUGAGAGCCCCGUCUGGUUGGAUGCCAAAUCUCUGUAAAGUUCCUUCGACGAGUCGAGUAGUUUGGGAAUGCUGCUCUAAAUGGGAGGUAUAUGUCUUCUAAAGCUAAAUACCGGCCAGAGACCGAUAGCGCACAAGUAGAGUGAUCGAAAGAUGAAAAGCACUUUGAAAAGAGAGUUAAAAAGUACGUGAAAUUGUUGAAAGGGAAGCGUUUAUGACCAGACUUGGGYUUGGUUAAUCAUCUGGGGUUCUCCCCAGKGCACUUUUCCAGUCCAGGCCAGCAUCAGUUUUCCCCGGGGGAUAAAGACUUCGGRAAUGKGGYUCUCUUCGGGGAGUGUUAUAGCCCGUUGKGUAAUACCCUGGGGGGGACUGAGGUUCGCGCAUCUGCAAGGAUGYUGGCGUAAUGGUCAUCAACGACC